rnacentral:rRNA from 1 species
AGAGUUUGAUCCUGGCUCAGAUUGAACGCUGGCGGCAGGCUUAACACAUGCAAGUCGAGCGGGCACUUCGGUGUCAGCGGCAGACGGGUGAGUAACGCGUGGGAACGUACCUUUUGGUUCGGAACAACACAGGGAAACUUGUGCUAAUACCGGAUAAGCCCUUACGGGGGAAAGAUUUAUCGCCGAAAGAUCGGCCCGCGUCUGAUUAGCUUGUUGGUGAGGUAACGGCUCACCAAGGCGACGAUCAGUAGCUGGUCUGAGAGGAUGAUCAGCCACAUUGGGACUGAGACACGGCCCAAACUCCUACGGGAGGCAGCAGUGGGGAAUAUUGGACAAUGGGGGCAACCCUGAUCCAGCCAUGCCGCGUGAGUGAUGAAGGCCCUAGGGUUGUAAAGCUCUUUUAACGGGGAAGAUAAUGACGGUACCCGUAGAAUAAGCCCCGGCUAACUUCGUGCCAGCCGCCGCGGUAA